rnacentral:tRNA from 1 species
AAGAAGUUAGUUUAAAAAAAACAUCUAUUUGUCAAAUAAAAAUUACAUUAAAUGUACCUCUUA